UUUCAAACUCCCCUAAUUUUUUUUUGCUUGUAUUCCUCGCCUUCCAUUUUCUUCCCUACAUCCAUUUCCUGUCAACUGGAUCCACUCAAUCCUUUCAUACACCCCUUCAACUCAAAAACCUAGCUCCAGGUCCAGAAUAACAAAGCAAGUAUACGUCUUAAAGCUCCGACCUGAACCGCCAUCCGAAACUCGACGGUGACAGUUAGUUUUUGCCAAAAUGAGUUAUUUGAUUGAAAAAAUCUAUUUAGGGUUCCCGGCCAGAGAUAUUCUGUAAGAAGCGAUGGUGGAGUAAAUAAGCAAAAGUUGAAGACGGCCCAUGAGAGGAAUCUGGACAAGCUUAAGCUUCUUCCAUAGGUAGUCAACUUGAAGACAACAAGAAAGCUAUGAAGAUCCAGGUUAUUUGUAGUUUAUCCGCAACUGUUUCAUUCUGUUUAGAGUUUCAUGUUUUAGAAGAUUUGUGUUUCUGAAUCAGAUGGAGUGUUUAUUUUUGAAGGCCUUCAGCUUCUUUUGACAAAUAUAUCGAAGUAGAACGACUUGAAGGUGAUAGUAGAUACCGUGCUGGAGGAUGCAGAGAAUUGUCUCAUGUUCAUUGAUUCCCCCCUGUUUAUCAACUUCAGUUAAAGCGUUUUGAAUAUGAUUCCAUUCGAGAUACAAUGGUGAAGGUCAGUAACUUUAACCCUUAUGACAUGGUUCAGUUCAUGUGAAUGCCAUUAAAUUAAAGAAAGUACCAUGUGAUUAGUGUAUAUAUAAGCUGGGCACAUUGGUUUAGUAUUUUGCAUUGCAUAUUGUUGAAAACAACUUGUGAAGUAGCAGACCUCUUAUUUGGAAUUUUUUUUAUGUGAAAUUAUUCGAUUGGACAGAUAAACAGCCGUUAUAAAUUCCCCCUGCGACUUGAUCUUGAUAGAGGGGAUGGAAAAUACUUAUCACCCCUAGCUAGGGGUGUGAAUUUCUGACACGACCUGAAAACACGAUACGAACCUAACACAAAAUUCGUGGGUUAGGUUUUAGUCUAAACGGGUUCGGGUCAGUUUCUGGUUGAACCCGCGAACCCGUUUAGCUAAACGGGUCAGGUUCGGGUCAACCCAGUCGGGUUGGCGGGUUGAUCCGUUUAACCCAUUUCUAUUAUAUUAUAUUUUUUUAAAAAUGUCUUAUGUCAUAAAUUAAAUUAGGUGUGUAUUUUAUGUUAUAAAUAUAACUUAAAAAUGGAAGCUGACAUAAAUUUUUAUGAUUUUAUUGUAAUUUUAUUAUAUAAAUUUGUGUUUUUUUUUGUAGUAGUGUUAAUUUUAAUAUAUUAAUUUGCUG
rnacentral:lncRNA from 1 species